UUGUUCUAUCCACUUGGGGUUGAGAUUUAAUUGGCUAUAUCUUAUUUCCUUCCAGUGGCAGAACCAAAGGACUCUGUAUACUUGUUGGACAAUUGCCCCCAUGACUGGCUAUUCUUACAAUGUAAGGCUGUGGUUCAUCAUGGUGGUGCUGGAACAACUGCUGCCGGUCUUAAAGCAGCGUGCCCGACAACUAUUGUACCUUUCUUUGGUGACCAACCUUUCUGGGGAGAUCGAGUACAUGCCAGAGGAGUAGGUCCUCCACCCAUCCCAGUUGAAGAGUUCUCACUUGCAAAGUUAGUUGAUGCAAUAAAUUUCAUGCUAGAUCCAGAGGUGAAGAUGCGUGCAGUUGAACUCGCAAAGUCCAUGGAGAAAGAAGAUGGAGUAACUGGAGCGGUUAAAGCAUUUUUUAAGCAUUAUCCUCAUCCGAAGGCUCAGACUAAGCCUGAGACCAAGGACGAGGCAGAGCCAUCAUCAGAACCAUCAAGUUUUUUCUCCAUUAGUAGAUGUUUUGGUUGUUCUUGAGUCUCAUAAAUGUAUACUCCAUCCUUGUGUCAUCGUCAAUUGCACAUCCUAUACCAGUAUAGCAUGAUAAGAUAAAUGCCUCAACAGUGAUUUUUACUCCUGACCUCUUUUUGUGAAUCCUUUGCCAUGGUUCAUAUUCCUGCUUGCAGAAUUGUAAUUUUCAGGUUUUGCCGAGUCAACAAUCAACAUUCAUUAAUUGCAUAGCGUUAUCAUCUUUCAUUUAUUUA